rnacentral:rRNA from 1 species
CACUAUCGUUAACUGAAUACAUAGGUUAACGAGGCGAACCGGGGGAACUGAAACAUCUAAGUACCCCGAGGAAAAGAAAUCAACCGAGAUUCCCCCAGUAGCGGCGAGCGAACGGGGAGCAGCCCAGAGUCUGAAUCAGCUUGUGUGUUAGUGGAACGGUCUGGAAAGUCCGACGGUACAGGGUGAUAGUCCCGUACACCAAAAUGCACAGGCUGUGAACUCGAAGAGUAGGGCGGGACACGUGGUAUCCUGUCUGAAUAUGGGGGGACCAUCCUCCAAGGCUAAAUACUCCUGACUGACCGAUAGUGAACCAGUACCGUGAGGGAAAGGCGAAAAGAACCCCGGCGAGGGGAGUGAAAAAGAACCUGAAACCGUGUACGUACAAGCAGUGGGAGCACCUUCGGGUGUGACUGCGUACCUUUUGUAUAAUGGGUCAGCGACUUAUAUUCUGUAGCAAGGUUAACCGUAUAGGGGAGCCGCAGGGAAACCGAGUCUUAACUGGGCGUUAAGUUGCAGGGUAUAGACCCGAAACCCGGUGAUCUAGCCAUGGGCAGGUUGAAGGUUGGGUAACACUAACUGGAGGACCGAACCGACUAAUGUUGAAAAAUUAGCGGAUGACUUGUGGCUGGGGGUGAAAGGCCAAUCAAACCGGGAGAUAGCUGGUUCUCCCCGAAAGCUAUUUAGGUAGCGCCUCGUGAACUCAUCUUCGGGGGUAGAGCACUGUUUCGGCUAGGGGGUCAUCCCGACUUACCAACCCGAUGCAAACUACGAAUACCGAAGAAUGUUAUCACGGGAGACACACGGCGGGUGCUAACGUCCGUCGUGAAGAGGGAAACAACCCAGACCGCCAGCUAAGGUCCCAAAGUCAUGGUUAAGUGGGAAACGAUGUGGGAAGGCACAGACAGCCAGGAUGUUGGCUUAGAAGCAGCCAUCAUUUAAAGAAAGCGUAAUAGCUCACUGGUCGAGUCGGCCUGCGCGGAAGAUGUAACGGGGCUAAACCAUGCACCGAAGCUGCGGCAGCGACACUAUGUGUUGUUGGGUAGGGGAGCGUUCUGUAAGCCUGCGAAGGUGACCUGUGAGGGUUGCUGGAGGUAUCAGAAGUGCGAAUGCUGACAUAAGUAACGAUAAAGCGGGUGAAAAGCCCGCUCGCCGGAAGACCAAGGGUUCCUGUCCAACGUUAAUCGGGGCAGGGUGAGUCGACCCCUAAGGCGAGGCCGAAAGGCGUAGUCGAUGGGAAACAGGUUAAUAUUCCUGUACUUGGUGUUACUGCGAAGGGGGGACGGAGAAGGCUAUGUUAGCCGGGCGACGGUUGUCCCGGUUUAAGCAUGUAGGCUGGUU